rnacentral:rRNA from 1 species
UACGUAGGGUGCAAGCGUUGUCCGGAAUUAUUGGGCGUAAAGAGCUCGUAGGCGGUCUGUCGCGUCUGCUGUGAAAACUCAGGGCUUAACCCUGAGCUUGCAGUGGGUACGGGCAGACUAGAGUGCGGUAGGGGAGACUGGAAUUCCUGGUGUAGCGGUGGAUGCGCAGAUAUCAGGAGGAACACCGAUGGCGAAGGCAGGUCUCUGG